CAAAUAAAUUUGCCUUUCACACAAAUAUUUUCCAAAUUCAGACAGUUUUAGCAACACUCUUCUCCGGGCACAUAUCUAACCAGGCAUUAAUAGUUUUGUGGUUUUCCAGAAAUCCCCUUUAAAUGUGAUAUAUAAAUAAAUUAUAACAUAUUUUUGCUGACUACGAAAUUAGUGAAUAUUUGCAUAUAUAUUUAUACCGUCGGCGAUGGGCAAGGACAACAGAUCUAACGAUUAAUAUAACUUAACUGGUCUAUGAAGGACUCAACAUCUUGUCAGGAAGGACAACCUGCAUGUUGACCUCACCAAUUAGUGACUUGUUGGAUAAUUUUGGCCGGGCCUCCUGAGGAGCGAACAGUUUAGACGGCAGUUGUUACGGGUGCAACUAGCACAAGAUACAAAAGCAGAUGCGAUGCAGACUACAUCCCUUAAGGCGCGCAACUUUCUUAUGAUGCUUUCCAGUUUUAUUUGCAAACAUGAUUUUUGCUAAAUUACAUACAAUCCUCCAGGAAAUAGGAAUGUGUGUGCGGCAUAAGAAAUAGUUGGGCCAAAGUUUUGUACCUUUUGCCAUUUAUUUUUCGGCAAAUGCCGUCUCGAUAUGAAAAAAGGCAAAAAAGUUGAUCAAAUAAAUGGCGAAAUUUCCAUAUC